GCUGCCGGCUCUGCUGCCUCAGAUUUUUUCCACAGGUGUUCUGGGUUGACUGGUGGGCGGAGCCCACACACCUGCGGGCGGUUGAGCGGCAUCGGGAAGCACUACUUAAACACCACGCAGACAGCGAGAGGAUGCCAGAGUGUUACCGUCGUGGUACCUCCUCGUGUCAGUUCUCUUCCUCUCGUGACCCUGUGAGCCCACCUUCGACCCACUGGCCUCCCGGACACCUGUGGGCCACUAUCGUACGGCUAGCGCUUAGUCCUCACCGCUUCCUCCCCGGUCGGCCUUCCGUUUAUCGAGUGUGAUCGACCCGGUUUCCUGCUCCCUGACUGUUACCUGACGCUGCCUCCGCUGAGGCAGAAUCCUCCCGUUACCUGGUUCUUAAAUAAAACCUUUAAACUUCA